rnacentral:tRNA from 1 species
AAUUGCUUAGCUUAUUUAAAGCGUUUACUUUGAAAGUAGAAGAAAGAGAAAAUGCUAGUAAUUU